GCGACACUCCCGCACACCGCAAAUGUUUUUUUGCUAAAUAAAUACAGCCUAUAGUUUCCUUUUAAACAGAUUAUAGAACUGGAUUGUUACUUAAAUUAUGAAUAGGUCUAUGUUCUUGGCAAUGAUGUAUCUUUGACACCGUCUAAAAGAAAAUAAUAGCAAAACCUUUCUUAGAGUACCUGCUGCUAUUUUACCAUCCUAGGGUGAGGCCAUUAAAAUUGAUUUUUUACAUUUGAAUGCACUUCCUAUUGUUCAGAGAACUCUCCGAGCACCAUAACCAACAUCUACAGCGUGCUGCAGUGGUUAUGGAGCCAGGAAUGUCCAGACCCUUCCCCAUUUUAGCUCAGAUAGUCAGCUUCUGGCACUUCGUCGGAAGUAGUGAAGGAAGGGAGCAGAGCCUGGUGGACUCCAGGUAAGAAGUCAUGCCAUUCUAAAAUGUUUGACUACUUACAAUGAAGGGUGUAAGGGCGCUCUUUGCACCAUAAUCACUACAACGCCACACUGGUUAUGGUACUUGGAGUGUUCCUUUAUUAUUGAAGACUCCCUAUAAUAGCAGUGAAGUCAGUAGGACAGAAAGCAAUUUAAAAGAAUAGUUAAACACAAUGCCUUUUGCUUGCAUAGCGUUAAUGGUGUCCUCUUCAACCUAUUGUUCCUGUAAGUUUUCUUGUGGUUGUCCUAUUUAUAGUCCCCCCCCACCCCCUCUUAUAUUGUAAAGCUCUAUGCAAUCUGUUGGCACUAUAUAAAUGGCGAUAAUAAUAAUAAUAAUAAUAAUAAUAAUAAGACAAGCUAGGGAGCUGCAUACUAAACAACCUUGAAAUUGCCCUUAACCUCAGUCAUGGGUAACCUAAAGACUUUCAGAGCAUCAUGGGACAUCUGGUCAAACAUUG